CAUUCUCCAACUGCGGAAUAAAUCGCAUUAAUAACGCGCGCGAUUCGGAAUAUGUAAGAAAAUAUAUUUGUCUGUUAGAUUUUGUGGCUAAAAAGUAAGCUUCGUUUCAUAUGUUUGAAGAAUCAAGAAUUGAUUGCAUCGCAGCAAAGAAUGAUCGAUGUAGAUUUAUAAAUCCAACAAGUCAAAACCACCGCGCAUGAAUUUAAUAAAUAUACUUUCAUCUCCAUUGCUAAAUGCAAAGAUGUCAGGGCCUCUGUUGUCGAUGCCACAUCGCUCUGAAUCUGCACUUUAUCAAGUUCGGUGUUAUCUGAUGGAAAGACACGCCGCAUAAAUAUUGUGCCAAUAAUGUGACGACGAAAGCAGCCGCAAGUCCCGAUACAAAGACGAGUAUGAAAACGAAACGGUUCGGUAUCAUGCCGUCCGUGGCGACAUCCCUGCGUUUGGAGUAAUUGGAGUUCACGUU